ensembl:scaRNA
GGUCAGUGAUGAGCUGUAAAAGGUCUGAUGCCCAGAUCCUCUCCCAGUUAUCCUUUGGCUCCCAGCAGCUCCUGCUGCCUUCCCAGCAUGCUCUAGCUUUGCAUUGUUGGAUUCAGGUCUGCUGACAUUUCAGAUGCCCUGUGAACCUGUGAGUCUUCAGACUCUGACGUCACAGUUAAAAUGGCAUCAAACACUAGGAAAUCGGUCCCGGAGUGUCGGGUCUGGAUGUGGGUAUAGGCAGCUGAUCUCAAGUUUUCAAGCUGAGACC